UGUAGUCAGACGCACACAACGUUAGCAAUGCAGGGUGCUAAAUGUGUUGUUACUCUGCCAAAAAGCACUAAAAACGUAGGAAUCAAUGAAUGAAACGGCGACAACCAUGGAUGUAUUAAGAGAACAGACAACAAAAUCAACAGGGCUUAUGGGACGUCACCCCAAACGACCCUGACCAGCCACCGCGUGACCGUAACCCAUCACUGUCUGCUGCAAAUUAGCUAACAUUAACGUAGCUAUGUUAACUAAAUAAGGUGUUAAUACUUAAUGUAAGUUUAGUUAGCCGUUAGCAGUUGCCCCAUUGAAGCCUAACGUUAGCUAGAUAUUUAACCACAACGACUGCUCUGAACUUUCCUCAUACGAAACAACAGUUGGGGCAGCUGAGCAGCAUGAUUACACUGAAGAGAUGUCUCGGCUACGACCGUGCAACAAUUUCCACAGCAUUUUCUAUCAGCCUUUGCUACGAGCCAGUAGAGGGAGACCAAGACUUGAAUCUUGCUUCAACAUUGUGGUUCAUUUUGCGCCGGAUUCGUCCUUUGAGGGAAGCCAAGUCACAGAUCUAAUGUGUUUUGCAGACUAGUUGAAACUAGUGAAGCAGACCGUGUGAAUGCCGAAGAAGUUGUUGCAGGAAUCAUAACACAAGUGUUGGACGAGUACAGCAAUUUAGGAGACAUUUUAUGUUUAGGAAGGUGGGAGAAGUCCAUUUAUCAUACGGAGAGGUGGAGGUGUGAGUGGGAGUAGUCUGAUGACAUGGACUGCUGCACCACAGGGAACUGCUGUAUGUGUAUAUAUUUUAGGUAUAUGUCCAAAAGACAUGUUUGUUACUGAGUAAUAUUGAUAAGAAUUCUAACUCUAAUUCUACCCAAUCAAGCUAGAUAAAAGAUGGUUAGAUAAAAUGGUAAAAUGUAUACAUUGCUGCACACAUCAUUGCGGUUUGUAUGAGAAAGUUGGUUUGUCUUCUUUAUACAACUGUAGAAUGGAGCACUGGAAUAUUUGUAUUCUUUAUAAGGCUGUAUUGCACAAACUGACUCUUUAUUUAUGUUCUCUACUGACGCCUAAAUCUAUUAAUAGCUGCAGCCUGAGGUCACACAUACAGAUUAUGUACGUCAUUCCUCGACCCGUACUGUGUUUGGUAAAAGUGCUUUUAAAUGUUUUGCUCCGGCAUCAUGGUGUGAGCUACAAAGUCACCUCAAACUAGAUUAUUUAAAAUGUAAUAAUUUAUACUGUUUAUUGAUCC